UACGUAGGGACCAAGCGUUGUUCGGAUUUACUGGGCGUAAAGGGCGCGUAGGCGGCGUGGUAAGUCACUUGUGAAAUCUCUGAGCUUAACUCAGAACGGCCAAGUGAUAUUGCUGUGCUAGAGUGCAGAAGGGGCAAUCGGAAUUCUUGGUGUAGCGGUGAAAUGCGUAGAUAUCAAGAGGAACACCUGAGGUGAAGACGGGUUGCUGGGCUGACACUGACGCUGAGGCGCGAAAGCCAGGGGAGCAAACGGG
rnacentral:rRNA from 1 species